UUAAAACGCCGUCAGCAGCGUGAGUACCAACUGUACCAAGAAGUUUCUGUUAAACCAAUGAUAGAAUUCACACUCGAGCAAUAGUGUGUUUGUCACAUUUGAUCCACCCCUCUCACACCAUGAUGAUAGGCCUUCCCUGACAGAUGGUGAACUGCUAUGGCUUUACAAAUCUGCCUCGAGGGCAUUGCCCUACUCCUUAUCAUUUUGGCCAAACUCACUCUAAUCAGCUACACGUUUACAGCCAUUUUGGUAUGUCUGUUAGACAAGGAUUUGCACAAAUGGUUCCACAAACCAAAGCUGAACAGACGUAUUCGAAAGACGAGGGCGGCCCUAUGCGUCAUAUACACCACUGCGUACAAGAGUCUCGUGCUUCUCUUCUUCAUGGCCUGUAGAAUGGUCGACCUGAUGUCCUCGCCGAUGAUUGUCCUUCCUGUACUCAACUAUCUGACCUGCUACUUUGUUCUUGGGUUUUGUCUGACCGGACUUGUCACCGCUUUGAACCACUUUGCAAUAUUAUAUAGACAUUGGCUUUUAGAGAUUGAUAGAGAACGGGUGAUUAAUUCGACUCUGUUUUACUAACUAAUGCUUGCUCUUCUUCCUAUAAGGAAGGGGGAAUGGAUCACAAAACAAUAUUUCCAAAAGGCCCCUGUUGUGUUGUCAGCUGGUUUUAACUGCUGCACCCACCAUGUAUUUGAAAGUUUUUUCUAAGAUGGCACUUUACUAAGUGCCUCUUUGGCGUACCAGUCUUUUUCAUGUAGAGAGAGGGAACGGUUCCAUUUUAUGGGCCAAGGAAAUCUCAUUACUUUGUUUGGAAAUGAAAUAUCUUUGUAAUUAAUACUAAAAUGACGAUUCCUUUUAAUGUUUAAAGAAUUUGGCAGUAUUUUAUAUACACUAUCCCAAUAAAUAAAUAAAAAGGUUUGAGAUUUAAAAUGUCCUCAUUAACAUCGAUAUCUCUUUGCAGAAAUUAAGUUCUGUAUAUAAGUCCAGAGACAAGAAAUGUGUCUUUGCUCUUAGCAUCAUGUUUUAUUAGAAUGAGUUUGUGUUUUAAGGCUGAACUCCGAGACUAAUAAAAAAACAACAAAGAAUGUACCUAAAGUUGAAA